rnacentral:lncRNA from 1 species
GGCCAUCACCUCUUGAAUAUUUUCUUCUGAUCCAAUAUUACAAAACAUAUUUGAUAAAAGACUGGUGUUCAAGGCCGGGGCUAUAGCUCAGUUGGUAGAGUGCUUGCCUCACAUGCACAAGGCCCUGGGUUCAAUCUCCCCCCACCAAAAAAAAAAAAAAAAAAAAAAGACUGGUGUUCGCAGUAUAUAGAUAAUUCUACACCUCAAUAAAGGGACACAUACCCAAAUUAAAAUGCUGAAAAAAAAUCUGAACAGACACUUCAUAGAGAAAUGUAUGUGAGAGGCCAAUUAAUACAUUUAAGAGUUCUCAACAUCAUUAGACUCCAAAUUAAAAUCCAUGAGAUGCCACUACAGUCCCACUAGAAUGAUUAAAAUUUUUAAAAAGAUUGCUGGCACCAAAUGUCGGCAAAGAUGUGGAACAACUGGGGCUCUUGUAAAUGGCUGGUGGGAACACAAAUGGUCACAAACACUUUGGGAAGAGUUUCCUUGGCCACCCACAACGUAAGAUGUACACCCCCCCACCCUCUGACCUACAAUGCCACCUUUAAGUAUUUUCUCUAAAGAAAUCAGUGCAUAUGUCCCCAAAAGGCUUGUCCGAGUAUGUUGAUAGCUUCUUUACAAUAUCCUCCGCCUGGAGACCUCCCAGUGUUCACAAGCAGGAGCGUGGAGAAUGGUCCACACCCUGGGGCGCCCUGGGCCACGGGGGCUGCUCAUUGAUGAAAUGGGGUGGACACUAACACGCAGCACAGUGCAGAUGGACGGCGUAGAUGGGAAAUGCUAGACCCAGAGAGCAAGAAUGCUGUGAUUCCGUUUCUAGGAAUUCUACAGCAGGCAAAG